rnacentral:rRNA from 1 species
GGGGAAUUUUGGACAAUGGGGGCAACCCUGAUCCAGCCAUGCCGCGUGCGGGAAGAAGGCCUUCGGGUUGUAAACCGCUUUCGGACGGAAAGAAAUCGCAUGGACUAAUACUCUGUGUGGAUGACGGUACCGUAAGAAGAAGCACCGGCUAACUACGUGCCAGCAGCCGCGGUAAUACGUAGGGUGCGAGCGUUAAUCGGAAUUACUGGGCGUAAAGCGUGCGCAGGCGGUUUCUUAAGCCAGACGUGAAAUCCCCGGGCUUAACCUGGGAACUGCGUUUGGGACUGGGAGACUAGAGUGUGUCAGAGGGAGGUGGAAUUUCGCGUGUAGCAGUGAAAUGCGUAGAUAUGCGGAGGAACACCGAUGGCGAAGGCAGCCUCCUGGGAUAACACUGACGCUCAUGCACGAAAGCGUGGGGAGCAAAC